rfam:Schistosoma curassoni strain Dakar, Senegal genome assembly, scaffold: SCTD_scaffold0008031
AUCCAGCUGACGAGUUCCAAAUAAGACGAAAGCUAUGUCAAGCUGGAU